rnacentral:misc_RNA from 1 species
GAUGAAGAACGUAGCGAAAUGCGAUACUUGGUGUGAAUUGCAGAAUCCCGUGAACCAUCGAGUCUUUGAACGCAAGUUGCGCCCGAAGCCACUAGGCCGAGGGCACGCCUGCCUGGGCGUCACACGCCGUUGCCCCCCCAUCUACUCCUUCGGGAUUGCGGGGGGGCGGAUGAUGGCCUCCCGUGCGCCUAGCCGCGCGGUUGGCAUAAAUACCAAGUCCUCGGCGACGCACGCCACGACAAUCGGUGGUUGCGAAACCUCGGUUGCCCGUCGUGUGCGUUCGUCGCGCAUCCAGGGCUCGAAAAAAUGCUCGGCUCCGGCUGGGCUUUCAACGCGACCCCAGGUCAGGCGGGGUUACCCGCUGAAUUUAAGCAUAUCAAUAAGCGGAGGA